rnacentral:tRNA from 1 species
GCCUGGGUGGCUCAGUCGGUUAAGCGUCCGACUUCAGCUCAGGUCAUGAUCUCACGGUUCGUGGGUUCGAGCCCCUCAUCGGGCU